CCGCCGCUCAUCCCCACCGCCGUCCACCUCCCCUCCUGAGCCCCACGCGCAAGAUCGACGGAAGCCGCCAUGGACUCGCGAAGCAGUGAGGCUGAGCCCCCAGGAACCACUGCGUCGCGGCGGCCUUUUCGCCGGCGCGCGCGUGCACCGGUAGGACGGUGCGCGGCGCUCCGUCGAAGUCGCCGCCUGCGUCGCGUGCGUGGACGGCGGGUGCGUGCUUCACGCCGGCGAGGUGCUGCCGGCCAUCCGGUCGCGGCGGCGCAGCUCCACCGUUCUGUUCCCUGUCUCCGCCGAGGACCAGACCGUGGCCCACGCGGCGCCUUGUUCCGUGUCGUCGCCCUGCAGAGCAGCAGGAGGAGGAUGGAGGCGUCGUAGCAGUAGUACCGCCGGUCCAGCAGCUUCUCCGACCAGGACUCGACAGCGCACCUCGUCCCCGUCCGACUCCCUCAGACAUCUGGUGCUGCUACUCUGUUGGGGCCGCAGUUUUCAGGCAGUGACACGGGAAAAGGCAUUGGAGCUAGUGACUUGGCUUGUAAUUUCGAGGACACGUGUGCGCAGAUUUACUACAGCUGCAGCAGCAGGAGCGCGAUGACGGCCGUGGAGGCAAUUGCCAGCAGCAGAGCGAGCAUGCAGGAGUGGCUGUAGUAGGUGAGGAUGAUGCUUCCUUAUCAAACUGGAAUGACAGAGUUUACUAAUUGUGACUUAUAUGUUUUUUUCGUUAUUGUCUGUAUCUAGGUUACUCUCUUGCUUAGCCUCAUGGAUAGAAGAUGAUGUUGAUGAGAGCACUCCUAUGCAUAUCCCUUAAUGUUUAGUGUCCUAUAUGCAUUACUUGUAAUUAAUCAAACUACUGUCCAGCUAGUUGGUAAAAUCUGUUGCUGUUUUUUAAGUCAUGCCUGAUUGUUAUACAUUAUCAAUUUAAUCUUCUUUCUAUAAAUCCUCUAAGUGAAGAUAACUGCUGCCAAGUGGAUGAGCUUUAAUUUUCUACGUCAUGCUAUAGCCAUGAAUAUAUACUGAUUUAUGCCUACGCACAUAUUUGUAUGGAUGAGGCCAUGGAUGUGGCCAUACAGGACCUCCUCCAUGACCUGAAUCUGAAGACCAUGUAGGGCGUGACCGUGGAGUGCAGGAGGUUGCUCCCAAGGACCACCACUGCGACCUUGCUGCUGUUGUUCAGGGCCAUGUCAACACUGCAAUGUUUUUUUUGCUUUGUUUGUCAGCAUUGGGCCUCCAUUAUUUGGUUAAGCAUGUCAUCAUAUUGUUGAUGUGGAGCUUACUCCUUUGUAUUAAUCAUGUUGGUUGCUGUCCGUCCUCUGUUUACAUUAGAUUUCGAGGGCGUUGAGACCUGAAACCUUAGUUUCUGGUGCUCAAGUAGAGAUGCAUGCAUUUGUAAAAUGGGCAUGUGUACAACAGAUGCUAUAUUUCAGAGUUACACUAUGGUCUAGUAGUUAAUCUAGCUUGUUCUGUUUGCACAUUCAGUCAAAAAAUUAGCACACAAAGCAACAUGUCUGUGUAUGAACAAUCAUAUUAAAACCUUAGUAUUUAGUUGAAUUUGGUAUUGGUCGAGGCCCUAAUAUCCUUCUUUGGUCCUGCCCACAGCAUUUAGUUAAUUAUUUUCCUGAUACUAAUUGCAUCUUCUGGUAAUGCUGAAGCUCUGCUACUGAAGCAUCUAGUCAGGUGCAGCUAGUUCCUUGUACUGAUGUGUUGUUGAUUUAAGAGCUACCAUGGUUUAGUCUUGCUAGCACUUCUAGAUCUUUUUUUGCAUAUAUAAUAAUGAUCUUUUGGAGUACUGAAUCCUAAAUGCUCAAUGUUGGUAGUACGAAUUGGUAAUCUUCUGUUUGUACCAUGCUAUUUGAUACUGCAUAGUCUGCAUACCUGUUUGUUAAAUAUAUUCCUGGUUUAAUUUUCUACUGCCUACAUUUGAACCAUUGAAUGCUAAGGGCUGUUUGCUCUAUACAUUGUUUAUGUUGCUAUAUUAUAUUCAGUCAUGAUAGUGUUUGUGUGAUUUUGAUGUGCACAUUUAGAUGUUUGAGUGCUACUCCUACCAUCUUAUAGUUGAAAUUCUCUUUCUUUUUUGCUAAACUAAGACUCCAUGACAGCAGCCAUUGAAUUACUUGCAGUCUGCCUCUAGUAGUAAUAUUGUUUUGUUGCCAGGUUCAAAUGUGCUUGUGCUUUUCUCACUGAAGCUAAAGCUAGUUUAUGUGGUUUGUGUGAUUUAGAGCAGAUCUUGUUUAGGUAAACUAAUUCUUAUCUUUGUUCUUGUGCUAUUUCUGGUUAUAGAAUAGAUAAGAACAGAGUUUGCUGUACUAACCAUGAAUAAGUGCGCACUACUUGUAAGAUGGAUUCCCCAGAGACAACUGAGACAUGUCUCGAGCAUCAAUCGCACAAUGUAUUUCAUAUCACUGGACUGUUGCAUUCGAGAGCAUCUUCGUAGCUGUUGAGAAUGUUGUAUGGUGCGGUGGCAGCAAUGCUUGGCCUUGGCUACAACCUCUCCGGGAAGUGUAAGCGUGAGAUGGUAACGCUGUUGGUUUAUAGAGUUGGGGACGGCUGCUUUGCCCCUUGCUGCCUCUGGCUUCUUUGUCACAGCUUCGGUGGCAGUGCCUGCUGCUGUGUUUAUGUGUAGUAUUCAGUUGCAUUUUGACAAGUUGUAAUAGUUUCUUUUGUAAAUAUUCUAUGGUAAAUACUACUUAUCAUAGGCCGAUGUGAAGCAGAUCGGACCGAUCUGACACCCUCGAUUCCUCCCUGCAUCCAAUGGCCCCUGCAGCAGCCCGCUGUCUUCUUAAAAAGGCAGCCCGGAAAUUACACACGGUGACUCCCAUAAUAUUGCUGCCCUUCUUCCUCAAAACCGUCACUGCUCCUUAUUCCUAU